CUCAUUUUGGCCUUUAAUUUCACAGAUUAGGAAAUAGAAAAUGAGAACAAUCACAUGAUGAGUAGUAAGAAGGAAAGAACUGAGAUGCCAUGAAGUCCAGAACCCAGCGCUCUUUGAAAUUGUAGCAGUGCAUGUGUCUAGUGGGGAGGAGAUCCCCUUCCUUCGAUGGCUUUUCCGUGUGCAGUGGCUCCGAGGGCCUGGAAUGCAGAUGCCAUGAGACAGUGACUGUUUCCUUCUGGCUCACUCCUGACUUGUCAUCUAACACAGUGCUGACUCCAGAACAGAGGGGAAAUCUGGGUUUGGAGCAGCUAUACCAUAUAUCUAAGGUCAAACACCUAAGAGGAACUUUUAACUUGGGUCAUUUAAGUGCAAGUGCCUUGUUUUCGCCAUUUUGCCAAGGACAUGGGGCUCAAGUUUGGGUGUGCACCUGGCUUGCAGCAGAACUGGCUGGGAUGGCUUCAUAACUUCCCUUCUAACAAUAUAACAAUAUGCUUCUGUAAAUUUUCACACUGAAUUGGACAAGAAUCAGAAUAUCCUGUUUUGAACAUCUGCACAGAUUGACAAACAAAAAUGGAACAUCAAGACUGACUGGAAAUGGUGAUGUGAAAUUCAUUAAAUGCUCUUGCAAUUGCCAGAGGUGCCAAGACUGAGGCUCAGAGAAAUGAAAUAACAUGCCAAAGGUCACAGUGUCUAGUGGAGCUGGGGCCAAAUUCAGAUUAAUAACACACAGGAAAAACCCUCAACUUCUUUCAUUCGCCUGUUGAGAUAAAGGGAAAGAGAGUCCCCAUCCAGGCCUGCAGGAGAGGGAGAACUGGUGGAUGCAAAUGAAAAAGCAGAGGCAUUCCUCAGGGUCUUGCUCUGCCACCCAGCCUGGAGUGCAGUGGUGCAAU
rnacentral:lncRNA from 1 species